AGAGUUUGAUCAUGGCUCAGGACGAACGCUGGCGGCACGCUUAACACAUGCAAGUCGAACGAGAGAAGAGGAGCUUGCUUUUCUGAUCUAGUGGCGGACGGGUGAGUAACACGUGAGCAAUCUGCCUUUCAGAGGGGGAUACCGAUUGGAAACGAUCGUUAAUACCGCAUAACAUAAUUGAACCGCAUGAUUUGAUUAUCAAAGAUUUAUCGCUGAAAGAUGAGCUCGCGUCUGAUUAGCUAGUUGGUAAGGUAACGGCUUACCAAGGCGACGAUCAGUAGCCGGACUGAGAGGUUGAUCGGCCACAUUGGGACUGAGACACGGCCCAGACUCCUACGGGAGGCAGCAGUGGGGAAUAUUGCACAAUGGAGGAAACUCUGAUGCAGCGAUGCCGCGUGAGGGAAGAAGGUUUUAGGAUUGUAAACCUCUGUCUUCAGGGACGAAAAAAGACGGUACCUGAGGAGGAAGCUCCGGCUAACUACGUGCCAGCAGCCGCGGUAAUACGUAGGGAGCGAGCGUUGUCCGGAAUUACUGGGUGUAAAGGGAGCGUAGGCGGGAUCGCAAGUCAGAUGUGAAAACUAUGGGCUUAACCCAUAAACUGCAUUUGAAACUGUGGUUCUUGAGUGAAGUAGAGGUAAGCGGAAUUCCUAGUGUAGCGGUGAAAUGCGUAGAUAUUAGGAGGAACAUCAGUGGCGAAGGCGGCUUACUGGGCUUUAACUGACGCUGAGGCUCGAAAGCGUGGGGAGCAAACAGGAUUAGAUACCCUGGUAGUCCACGCCGUAAACGAUGAUUACUAGGUGUGGGGGGACUGACCCCUUCCGUGCCGCAGCAAACGCAAUAAGUAAUCCACCUGGGGAGUACGACCGCAAGGUUGAAACUCAAAGGAAUAGACGGGGGCCCGCACAAGCAGUGGAGUAUGUGGAUUAAUUCGAAGCAACGCGAAGAACCUUACCAGGUCUUGACAUCGUAUGCAUAGCUCAGAGAUGAGUGAAAUCUCUUCGGAGACAUAUAGACAGGUGGUGCAUGGUUGUCGUCAGCUCGUGUCGUGAGAUGUUGGGUUAAGUCCCGCAACGAGCGCAACCCUUACUGUUAGUUGCUACGCAAGAGCACUCUAGCAGGACUGCCGUUGACAAAACGGAGGAAGGUGGGGAUGACGUCAAAUCAUCAUGCCCCUUAUGACCUGGGCCUCACACGUACUACAAUGGCUGUCAACAGAGGGAAGCAAAGCCGCGAGGUGGAGCGAACCCCUAAAAGCAGUCUUAGUUCGGAUUGUAGGCUGCAACCCGCCUACAUGAAGUCGGAAUUGCUAGUAAUCGCAGAUCAGGAUGCUGCGGUGAAUACGUUCCCGGGCCUUGUACGCACCGCCCGUCACGCCAUGGGAGUCGGUAACACCCGAAGCCUGUAGUCUAACCGCAAGGAGGACGCAGUCGAAGGUGGGAUUGAUGACUGGGGUGAAGUCGUAACAAGGUA
rnacentral:rRNA from 1 species